rnacentral:lncRNA from 1 species
CAAGGAGAAAGAUGAACCUUGCCACUGAGCAAACCGUGACAGACAUGGUGUAACCAGCUGCCUCACACUUGGGCUGCAUGGCGUCCCAAACUUGAUAGACUGUGCCUUCAAACUGGGAGCUAGCUGAGAGCUCUUGUCAUGUAUUCUGUCACAACAAUGAGACCAACUAAUACAGGAUGUCAUUCACUUGAUGAGCAUUUUUUAUUAUUACAAGAGGAAGCAAAAUAUUGACUCUUCUAACCUUGGCUUUGUAGCAACUCUUUGAGGUUCUCGAUGAUGAGAACCCAGGGCACUCAGCUGUGGUGUGAGAGAGCAUGACUCUGGCUGCCACCCUCUUCUAUCUACCUGAAGCUUCCACUAGCUGAGCUGUAUUCCACUAGUUGCAGUAUGGAACCAGCACCUUGGGAGGUGAAGGCAGGAGGAUCGUCAGGACUUCAAGAUUAUCCUCAGCUACAUAAGAACACAGUUGUGUAUCCAGCACCCAGAAUAAAAGAACAUAAAACUACCAGUACCCCAGAAGAUCCCCAGAUGGGAGCCUUCAUCUAGAUUCCUUUCCUUUUUUUCCUGGUUUUUGUAGAGCAAAAAAAUCAUAUACUGAUCAUCCUUCUCUGCCUGGAUUCUUUUUGUUUCUUUUGUUCUUUUUUAUUGUUUUCAGACAGGGUUUCCUUUUGUAGCCCUGGAUACCCUGGAACUCACCCUGUCGACCAGGCUGGCUUCAAACUCUCACAGAGAUCUGCCUGCCUCUGCCUCCUGAGUGCUGGGGUCAAAGAUUUGGAAACUGGACUUGAAGAGGUUAGCACUUGGCAAAGCGACAUGACUGUAGACCCCCAUUCUGGAACCAGAAGCCAAAAUAACCUCUGUCUUCUGAUACUGCUUGGAAGAGUGAAUCCAUGAUCUGAGGAGAUCGCUUAUGUGAGGAGGAGGCAGAUGUGAGAAAUAGGACAUUAAACUAUGAUUUGGAGGAGGAAUAAAUGGGUACCCGCUGAAGACCUAAACUACUGAGAAUCAGUCAUCCAGGAGAUCAGACAGGGACCAUGUCUACUCCUUAAUUUGAAUGAACACUCAAGAACUACUGCAGGAAAAUGGGGAAGAGGCCCAAGAAUGGGAUAAAAUUCAGAAAGUAUGCUCUCAUAGAAACGUCGAAGAACAGUGGAUGCAUUGUUGAUCUGAAAAUAGGUUUAGAAGCAGCACUAAGUUCUGGUACCCAUAAUUCAUUGCGAUGAAACUGGUUGACAAAGGAAGUGGUUGACAGCUGUCAGAGAAGGAUCUGCCAAAACUGAACAGUCAGCCCCACCCGAGGAGGGCUGAGGGUGGAAGGCUAAACACCCUGACCAUCCAUUUCUCCACACGCCCACAUUCAAGGUUGCUGAGAGUGCCGCCCAGCCUGCAGUUCAGGAGAUCUGGAUGUCCCUGAGGUAAAUAACCAUGAGUAUAUUCAUUCAUUCCACAGAAACUCAUGGAACCCCCAUAACACCCUAAGAACCACAGAGAACAGCCAAGUAAUGGGAAUAUUCCAGCAUCUCUAUGAGUCAGAGUGAUGCUAUCCAACCCAUCUGGAGCAGAGGGAAGGGUAUUAUGGGAACAGGGUUUGGUCAAAGAGAAGCACCGAUCUACACCUCCUUCCUUGUUACUCUUAGUUCUGGUGCACAUAUUGAUGCCGUAAGGACACAGCUGCAUCAUUAAUGGGGAUAGUACCACAAAACCAAUUGUGUUUUCUUCUAGAUUCUAGCUUAUUCCACUCAAUUCACCAAAUAUCUGUGAUGUACCAACUGGGUGUCUAGUGUUGGAGCUGUAAACAUGAACGUCUUCUUUAGAAAUGGUCUCCCUUCCCUCAACAAAGUACAAGUGGCACAUCUAGGCAACUUCAAAUCCAGACACUGAUCCAAGAGACCUGAAUUCCUCUGUAGGUGUUCCUGUAAAGUGGGAAGGUGGUCCCACCCCCCCCUUGCCCCAACAAAGACAUGGUGACACUGGUCAAGGCCAUGGGAAGCCGGGCUGAGCCACCUCUGCAGUCCUCCAGCCAGCACUUCAGAGUACUGGCUGUCAACCAUGGGACAACUUUUUCCUCAUUUUGUGCCUUCAGAAUUCAGAACGACCAGACAGUACAAGACAGGCGUCUAGCUUCUGUGGGGCCCUGAAGAACUUCCUUCCGGGUCUCAGACACAACGGCCUCACUGUCCAUCUUUCCCCAUCUGGAACAAGGCAGAGAAUAGAGACCAGGAUAUCUUUUUUGUAUUGAUAUCUGAUUUUCUCCAGUUACAUUAAUGCUUCAUAAAAGUACCUGUGUAAUUUAACCCAGUACUAUAAUCUAUUUCUGAC